GUCUAUGGCCAUGCCACCCUGAACAAGCCCAAUGUCUGAUCUUCGAAGCUAAGCAGGGUUGGGCCUGGUUAGUACUUGGAUGGGAGACCAUCUAGGAAGACCAGGUGCUGUAGGCA
rnacentral:rRNA from 1 species